rnacentral:rRNA from 1 species
UACGUAGGGGCAAGCGUUGUCCGGAAUCAUUGGGCGUAAAGAGCGUGUAGGCGCCAGAAAAGUCCGCUGUGAAAACUCGAGGCUCAACUUCGAGCUGUCGGUGGAAACUUUCUGGCUAGAGUCCGGAAGAGGAGAAUGGAAUUCCUGGUGUAGCGGUGAAAUGCGCAGAUAUCAGGAAGAACACCCGUGGCGAAGGCGGUUCUCUGGGACGGUACUGACGCUGAGGCGCGACAGCGUGGGGAGCAAACAGG